CUGCCCUAGCUACCCAUGGCCAUGCUAAAUGUUCUUUUGGGAUUUCAGGUGCUAUUUAAGAACCUUACUGUUGACAUAAAGGAUGUGAAACCAACUUCCCUGCUCAAAGAUCGUCUGCGUGAAGUCGAGGGAAAUCCAGAUUUUUCAAAUAAAGAUGUUACUGCAUCUCAAACCCCUGUGGUUGCAGAAGUCCCUUCAGGGACCAUCCCUUCACUAACUCAUAUGGAACAACAACCUGAGAUCAAUAUCACAUCCCGAGCUAUGAGCCUUCCAAAUAUACUUAAUCAGUAUGCUGCUCCUGUCCGUCUACCUACAAACAACACGGUAGAAGAUGACAAAGUUGCUCUGAUGAUGCCUGAGCAAGUGCCCUCGUUGACCCAGCUUAUGGCGGCUAUUCCACGUGAAGAGAUACGUUUCAAAAUAAAUCCAAAGCUCGGCUCCCUUGGUCCACAACUGCAAUAUAGCAAAAUUAUGGAUUUGGCUUUGGAUAAGGUUAACAGGGAGAUAAUACAUAGGCAAGGAUCAUCAAGUUUGACGUCGGCAACGUGGUCAUGGUGACUGGCGGGAGGAACACCGAGCGUGUAGGAGUCAUCAAGAACAGGGAGAAGCACAAGGGCAGCUUUGAGACCAUCCACGUGUUGCUUGGAGCUUUUUGCUAUGUCUAGUUUUCUCCUAUUUGUUGUAUAGGAAAACAUAGAAUAG